rnacentral:rRNA from 1 species
AUCUGCCCCUGACUCUGGGAUAAGCGCUGGAAACGGCGUCUAAUACCGGAUACGAGCCGAGCAGGCAUCUGCAUCGGUUGGAAAGAACUUCGGUCAGGGAUGAGCUCGCGGCCUAUCAGCUAGUUGGUGAGGUAAUGGCUCACCAAGGCGACGACGGGUAGCCGGCCUGAGAGGGUGACCGGCCACACUGGGACUGAGACACGGCCCAGACUCCUACGGGAGGCAGCAGUGGGGAAUAUUGCACAAUGGGCGCAAGCCUGAUGCAGCAACGCCGCGUGAGGGACGAAGGCCUUCGGGUUGUAAACCUCUUUUAGCAGGGAAGAAGCGAGAGUGACGGUACCUGCAGAAAAAGCACCGGCUAACUACGUGCCAGCAGCCGCGGUAAUACGUAGGGUGCGAGCGUUAUCCGGAAUUAUUGGGCGUAAAGAGCUCGUAGGCGGUCUGUCGCGUCUGCUGUGAAAUCCCGAGGCUCAACCUCGGGCUUGCAGUGGGUACGGGCAGACUAGAGUGCGGUAGGGGAGAUUGGAAUUCCUGGUGUAGCGGUGGAAUGCGCAGAUAUCACGAGGAACACCGAUGGCGAAAGGCAGAUCUCUGGGCCGUUACUGACGCUGAGGAGCGAAAGCGUGGGGAGCAAACAGGCUUAGAUACCCUGGUAGUCCACGCCCG